UUGUCUUGUGCUUGAAUCUCGUUAUCCACCAAUUGUGCGCUUGUACUUGAACUUCGCAUAUAUCAAUUUGCGCUUGUUUGUCAUUCCUCAAAACCUACACAUAAGAACACACGUUUUAGUAUAAAGCCUUGAGAACGUGUUUCCAACAAGGCUUAAUUAUCCUAAGUAUAAAACCUGGGUAUAUUGUUCUAGACUUGUACACCCGAGCGGACAACUCGAGCCGAGGAGAGGUCUACAUACCGGGAACCAAAAGUUCAUCCGGCUUAGUAACAUGUCCAAGCCUCUUUCUUAUUUCAAGGUAUGACACUAACAGAAUAGGGAGUCAUGGCCAGGGAGCACAUCCCCGAAGAUGAGAAGAGAAGGGUCUCGUAACAGUUUAUAUACAAUUCACAGAAUAUCAAGCGGUAAAAGCAACACUUAGCACAUUAACCCUAAACAUGUAAUAAAAUCGAAAAGAUAAUGCCAAAUAUAACAAUUCAUCUAAGCUUGAAUUUUGAACUCUAAACCAGAGAUUCUGGGUUCGGUCCCUAGCAGAGUCAUCAGAGUUGUCACACCUCUUUUUUUACCUACAUCCGAAAGAAGGUAUAAAGGAGUUUAUCCAAUUUAAGUGAAUAUCGAAAUGGGAUUUAUUUAUUUGAAGAAUUCAGAGUUGCCACUUGGGAUAAUUUAUGGUAUCCCCAGUCACCGAUUCCAAUUCCGAAUCGAGGAUAGAUUGACUCUGUAUUACAGUCCACGAACCAGAAAUCCGGGUAAGAAAUUCUGUUAACCCGAGAGAAGGUGUUGCGCAUUCCCGGAUUCCGUAAUUCUAGCACGAUAAUUCAACUGUUAUAAAUGGCCUAUUAUCUGAUUUUAGUACAUGUUUUAGCCUAUGGUUCAAUUUUAAACCUUUAACAGCUUUAUUCCUUUUAUAAAGAAAAUUGCAACAUCAUUUAAAAUAUGUCUUGAACCAACGUCAGAUAAAUACACCCUUAGUCCGCAACACAUUUUAUAUAACAUUGUUGAGAUUUGAAUUUGGGUCACAUAAAUGCACACCCAAGAUUAGGAAGGUAAAUUAUUAAAAUAAUGCGCCUAAAACAACUACGCGUUUUUAACUUUGCGAAGGCCAUGAAAAAUUCAACUAAAUGGCACACCUUGAUUUCUAAAGGAUUAGAAAUAAUCAAGUGAAGGCCGUGCAUUUUGAGAUUUUAUUUGGCAUGGCGCGGCUCAAUUUAUUCUACGGGUUAUACUCGACUAAAGAAAACUACGGACAUUCUUGAUUGGACGAUGUGAAUCUGAUGGAAAUUUUGAAUUUACCACUACUUUAAUCUCAAAAUACCAUAAGAGAAUACUAUAUUUCCAUUACCAUAUCUUCACACCUAUUUGAACAUGCCUUCCUUUAAUUAGUUGUCAAUGAGAACGAGCAAAUUGAAACAGGAUAUCAACGAUUGUAAUGAACCAACUAGAGGGACAAAUCAAUUCAGAAAGAAGCAUCAGUUCAAAUCUUCAUGUUCUAGUAUCACAACAGAAGAGGAGAAUGAUAUGACUCGAGAAUGCAGGGACGUUUCUUUGACAUGAGAACAAACCAUGAACAUGUUAGCAAGAAUCUAUGUGUGGCGACUGGAUAGAGGUCAACUUAUAAAGCAUGAUGGGAAGUUCUAUGUGUAGCAUCAAAAACACCAUUCCGUAUGCAAGAGAGUUGUGUGCAGUUAACUAAAUGGCAUUUGGACAUAACUGUAUGAACAUGGAGAAAACUGGGACAAAGUAUUGAUUUGGUCAUUAGGAGAUACAGCACUUUGAAAAUUAAGAUUGCACAAACUUUUGAAGCUGCUGGGACAGGCUUUUAACUAGGGAAUUUUGUACUAUAAUUAAAGACUGAUCACAUUACUUAUUAUUACCCUACAGUCACAUUUAAACCGGAAAUCAGCCAAGUAAAACAUGGGCCUGCUAGGGAAAUAAGACACAAAGGCACAAUAGCUCAACUGGCAAAAUACAAACUGACACUACUACACAAUUAUUAUGUUGAAUCUUGUGCAAAAGGUUCGCUGACGGAAAUGGCAUGCUGAGAAAACAUAAACAAUCCCUGAUCCUCUCAACCAUAGUAAGCCACAAAGAACAAAUAUUGUCAAGAAUAACUUCAACUACUUCAAACCAGCAACAUGCAUUAAAAUAGUCGUGAAACCAGAGAACAUGGCACUUUAGUGAUUCAUGACUUGUUUAGCCGUCUUACAACUAACUAACUCAAGUCAAACAUGUCAAAACUAAGGAUUUAGCAUGAGCAGACUAGUCUGAACAUCAGAAUAUUUCAUGGCUAGCAAAACACACAAGGAACUCUUGUGAAGUGGCUAAUCCUUAACCAAAAGAAUCAGGAAGCCAUGGAUCAACAAAGCUCUUAAAAUCAAUUGCUCUGGCUAAAAUGCAUCAAACACAUUCAACAGAUUCAAUGAUCCUAACAUAUUUGCAACUACACGAAUCAUUUCAACUUAAACACUCAUUAAUGUAGACAAAAUUCCAAUAAAUAUCAUGGUUAUGACUUAUGAGUUAAUGAUCAAUAAGAGCAGGCUAGUUAGACUCAUAAUCCUGUUUGAAAUUCGAUAGGCCAUUUUGACUUCCUAAGGACGUGCAAUUGCUCUUUCGAUAGCAGAAGAAUCCAAAGAAACUCAUGAGAAUAAGCAUCACGGGUUCAUGCUCGUUUAGCAAUCACAAAGCUGACACAGUCAUUCAUUUGAAAAUGACGAAAUCUCGACUCAAAUAAAAACUCGACACCAAAAUAACAGUUAAAGCAUAAAAGGCAUAGAGGAUGACUACUGAAAAGCAACUCUUACUGAUUGACCGUAUUCAAACACAUCAUACCAUUGAGAAGAAAUUCACCGAUAAGAAAUUCGAUCACAUCACAAAACAGACCACUCUAGACAGAACCUCAUAGCUCAAGAACACUUAAACAAAAACAGAGUCGCAUAGGAUAAAAGGAAAAAUAUCGAACCUGAAUCACAAAUUUCAUUUAUAAUAGAAUCGAAGGUGAUUACAAAGCUUCAACUCUAGAAUUCCACACAAUGGCAAUUCCAAACUCGAAGAACAGCAAACCAACAGCAGACUUGGCGAAUCCAACUUCCAGAGCUUCAGUUGAACUCCAUUUUUUCAAACCAAAAUUUCGAAAAUGAAACAGAGGACUUCACUUAAUU
rnacentral:lncRNA from 1 species